AGCCUUGGCCGGAGAGGCGGUAGAGUAGGGUGGGUGUUUUGUCAGGCCUGAGUUAGCUUCGCCAUACGGCGCUUUUCGCUGGUGUCUCUGCCUCGUUCUGAGUAGACCCCCUAGACCUCACCGCCGCCCCUGCGUUUUACCUCAAUGGAACAUCUGAACUAUUUCCGUAUUUGGGGAAAUUGAAGCUGAAGUGGUAUUUGGAGUCUCACUCUUCCCACUCCCUGAAAAUACUGGCAUUGGGAACCCAACAGUAGUAGUGGGAAGCAGGCAGCAGAGGAAACGUGACCAACAGAGAUUCCCUAACUAGAGUGCUGAUGGGGCCGGACUUUGGCUGUAGUUCCUGCUGCAUGGCCUCCAUUUGUGCAUAUCCCUCUACAGGCUUUGUGCUAAUUUCUUUUUUUAAUUUUAAGUGAUAAAAUGUUCAUUGAUUCUUUGAGCUAGCUGGUAUCCUUCCAGUAAAUUUCUUUUCCUGAUGAGU
rnacentral:lncRNA from 1 species